CUAACAAGGAUUCCCCUAGUAACUGCGAGUGAAGCGGGAAAAGCUCAAAUUUGAAAUCUGGCAGUCUUUUUUUUCUUCUUUGGCUGUCCGAGUUGUAAUCUAGAGAAGUGCUUACCUGCACUGGACCAUGUAUAAGUCUCCUGGAAUGGAGCGUCACAGAGGGUGAGAAUCCCGUCUUUGACAUGGACCGCCAGUGUGUUGUGGUGUGCUCUCAAAGAGUCGAGUUGUUUGGGAAUGCAGCUCUAAAUGGGUGGUAAACUCCAUCUAAAGCUAAAUAUUGGCGAGAGACCGAUAGUGAACAAGUACCGUGAGGGAAAGAUGAAAAGGACUUUGGAAAGAGAGUUAAACAGUAUGUGAAAUUGUUGAAAGGGAAACGCUUGAAGUCAGUUAUGUUGGCUAGGGAUCAACCUAGCUGUUUUUUGCUGGGUGAAUUUCCUAGUCUGACAGGCCAACAUCAGUCUUGACUGCUGGAAAAGAGCAGAGGGAAUGUGGCACCUUUGGGUGUGUUAUAGCCUUUUGUCAUAUGUGGCAGUUGGGACUGAGGGAUGCAGCAUGCCGCGAGGCUGGGUUUCUGACCACGUUCAUGCUCAGGAUGUUGGCUUUUAAUGGCUUCAAUCGACCCGUCUUGAAACACGGACCAAGGAGUCUAACAUGCCUGCGAGUGUUUGGGUGGGGAAAACCCUUGUGCACAAUGAAAGUGAAAGUUGAGAUCCCUGUCAUGGGGAGCAUCGACGCCCGGACCUGAGCUUUUAGCGACGGAUCUGCGGUAGAGCAUGCAUGUUGGGACCCGAAAGAUGGUGAACUAUGCCUGAAUAGGGCAAAGCCAGAGGAAACUCUGGUGGAGGCUCGUAGCGAUUCUGACGUGCAAAUCGAUCGUCAAAUUUGGGUAUAGGGGCGAAAGACUAAUCG
rnacentral:rRNA from 1 species